ensembl:snoRNA
AUCCUUUUGUAGUUCAUAAGCGUGAUGGUUGAGUGUUCAUGCGCAUGUGAGAGAUGUACCUCCCUCAAACUUUGUUAUGACGUCGACACAUUGCCCAUCUGACA